rnacentral:rRNA from 1 species
AAUGCUGACAUAAGUAACGAUAAAGCGGGUGAAAAGCCCGCUCGCCGGAAGACCAAGGGUUCCUGUCCAACGUUAAUCGGGGCAGGGUGAGUCGACCCCUAAGGCGAGGCCGAAAGGCGUAGUCGAUGGGAAACGGGUUAAUAUUCCCGUACUUGGUGUUACUGCGAAGGGGGGACGGAGAAGGCUAUGUUGGCCGGGCGACGGUUGUCCCGGUUUAAGCGUGUAGGCUGGUUUUCCAGGCAAAUCCGGAAAAUCAAGGCUGAGGCGUGACGACGAGGCACUACGGUGCUGAAGCAACAAAUGCCCUGCUUCCAGGAAAAGCCUCUAAGCAUCAGGUAACAUCAAAUCGUACCCCAAACCGACACAGGUGGUCAGGUA